rnacentral:rRNA from 1 species
GAUGAACGCUGGCGGCAUGCUUUACACAUGCAAGUCGGACGGGAAGUGGUGUUUCUAGUGGCGGACGGGUGAGUCACGCGUAAGAACCUGACCUUGGGAGGGGAACAACAGCUGGAAACGGCCGCUAAUACCCCGUAGGCUGAGGAGCGAAAGGAGGAAUCCGCCCAAGGAGGGGCUCGCGUCUGAUUAGCUAGUUGGUGAGGUAAUAGCUUACCAAGGCCGUGAUCAGUAGCUGGUCCGAGAGGAUGAUCAGCCACACUGGGACUGAGACAAGGCCCAGACUCCUACGGGAGGCAGCAGUGGGGAAUUUUCCGCAAUGGGCGAAAGCCUGACGGAGCAAUGCCGCGUGGAGGUAAAAGGCCUACGGGUCAUGAACUUCUUUUCCUGGAGAAGAAACAAUGACGGUAUCUGAGGAAUAAGCAUCGGCUAACUCUGUG